UACAGAGGGGGCAAGCGUUGUUCGGAAUUACUGGGCGUAAAGGGCGCGUAGGCGGCCUUCUAAGUCGAACGUGAAAUCCCCGGGCUCAACCCGGGAACUGCGUCCGAUACUGGAAGGCUUGAAUCCGGGAGAGGGAUGCGGAAUUCCAGGUGUAGCGGUGAAAUGCGUAGAUAUCUGGAGGAACACCAACGGCGAAGGCAGCUCGCUGGGACGGUACUGACGCUGAGACGCGAAAGCGUGGGGAGCGAACAGG
rnacentral:rRNA from 1 species